UCCCCACUACGUAGACAACCCCAUUAUCCAGACCAGGUUUCCAAUGACAGAUCUUUUACAGAAUAAUCAUGAAACUUUGCAGUUUUCGUUCUCACCACCAGAAGAACUGAGAGUUUGUUACAACGAGAGAACAAUGAACAAGGACAUCACCGCAAACUUUGGAACUGGUGGGGAAACAAACGUACUGCAGAACUCCUGGUCUUUGAAGGAAACUACAGAACAGCAAGACUGAAUAGGGAUGUAUUGUUGUUGUUCUCAGCAGAGAAGAGGACUUAUCAGACUGAUAUUCUGAGGCCAAGUAAACACCUUGGGGAUAUGUGGAAAAAGAAGUUGAAUCCAACAUUAGUGCUGCUCUUAAACCAAA